rnacentral:rRNA from 1 species
UACGAAGGGGGGCUAGCGUUGUUCGGAAUUACUGGGCGUAAAGCGCACGUAGGCGGGUUGUUAAGUCAGGGGGUGAAAUCCUGGAGCUCAACUCCAGAACUGCCUUUGAUACUGGCAACCUAGAGGCUGGAAGAGGUUAGUGGAAUUCCCAGUGUAGAGGUGAAAAUUCGUAGAUAUUGGGAAGAACACCAGUGGCGAAGGCGGCUAACUGGUCCAGAUCUGACGCUGAGGUGCGAAAGCGUGGGGAGCAAACAGG